rnacentral:sRNA from 1 species
CCCUAGCCCGGAUAGCAGCGGAAAUCCUUUUGCGGAGUUUACGAAGUAAAAGAUUGCAGCGAAUAGCCGGAACAGCU